UAAAAAUGAGAAUGUUUGUCAGGACCAUGGUGUUACAUGACACAGUACAAAAACUAGACUGAACUAUGUAAAAAUAAACAACACAGGGAAAGCUACACUGGACUACAGACCUACACAGGACUGCAGAAAGUGCACAAAAACAGUGCAGGCAUUACAAUCAAUAAUAAACAGGACAAUAGGGCAGUAAGGUGUAAGUCCAGGCUUUGGGUAUUGAGGAGUCUGCUAGCUUGGGGGAAGAAACUGGUACAUAGUCUGGUCGUGAGAACCCGAAUGCUUCGAAGCCUUUUCCCAGACAGCAGAGGGAGAAGAGAAUGUAUGAGGGGCGUGGGGUCCUUCAUAAUGCUGUUUCCUUUGCGGAUGCAGCGUGCAGUGUAAAUGUCCGUGAUGGCGGGAAGAGAGACCCCAAUGAUCUUCUCAGCUGACCUCACUGUCCACUGCAGGGUAUUGUGAUCCAAGAUGGUGCAAUUUCAGGACCAGGCUGUGAUGCAGCUGCUCAGGAUACUCUCAAUACAGCCCCUGUAGAAUGUGAUGAAGAUGGGGGGGUGGGAGAUGGACUUUCCUCAGCCUUCACAGAAAGUAGAGAUGCUGCUGGGCUUUCUUUGCUAUGGAGCUGGUGUUGAGGGACCAGGUGAGAUUCUCUGUCAGGCGAACACCAAGAAAUCCAUUUAAACCUUUCCUAUCCAUAUAUCUGUCCCAAUAGUUUUUAAGUAGUAUUACUAAACCUGCAUCAACCAUCUCUCCUGGCAGCUUAUUGUAUACAGACCACUCUCUGAUGGAGGAAUUGCCCCCCCCCCCAGGUUCAUACUAAAUCACUCCUUCGCACCUUAAACCUAUACCUUCUAGUUCUCAGAUGAAAGGUCUCAAUCUGAAGCGUUGUGAGUCCAUUUCUCUCUGUAUUCGAUGCCCAGUGUGUAGAGUUCCUCAGUACGAUGAGUGUUGCUCCAGAUUCCAGCAACUUCUGCCACUUGAUUCUCCACCCUACCAAAUAAAACUGGGCGCAUCCAUCAUAACUUUGCCCCUUGUGAUCUUGUUUAGAUAUAGAGCACGGAACAGUCCCUUCCAACACAAGGUGCCACACUACACAGCAACCCAGCUGGAUAACAGCCUCUCCCCCCCCCCCCCCCCAGGCUGUGAGACCUCUGAACCCCCUGCUACCUCCCACUACACAUUACUUAUGACAGUGCCAGCAGCAGUCAUACUGUUGUGCAUUUUACUGCAUGUUGUAUUUAUACUUUAUGGCCACUUGUAAAUCUACAGAAUACUUUUUUGUCAGUUGAAAGUUCAGAGUAAAUGGGAUUAUCAAAGUACAUAGAUGUCACCACAGACAGCCCUAAGUUUCAUUUAAUUGUGGGCAUAAUCAAUAUAUCUAUAGAAUAGUAACUAACAGGAUCAAUGAAAGAUCAACCAGAUUGCAUAUGCAACUAUAAAUAAAUAGCGAUAAAUAUCGAGAUCAUGAGGUAAUGAGAUAAAGGGUCCUUAAAAUGAGAUCAUUGGUUGUGGGAACAUUUCAGUGAUGGGACAAGUGUGUGAAGUUAUCCCCUUUUAUUCAAGAGCCUGAUGAUUAACUGUUCUUGAACCUGGUGGUGUGAGUCCUGAGGCUCUUGUACCUUCUACUUGAUGGCAGCAGUGAGAAGAGAUCAUAGGCUGGGUGGUGGGGUCCCUGAUGAUGGAUAUUGCUUUCCUACAUCAGUUUGAUUUAUCUUUAAUAUUAUUAUAUUUAGUAUGCGAUAUAUGUUCUCUGUUUUUGCACCUUUUUCCUGAUAAAUGGUGUUUAGCUAUAUAUAUGUGUACAGUUGUAUGACAAUGAACUUGAAUUUGAACUGGACAAGAGAUGGAAUAGAAGAAGGUCCAGUAGGAACAUUAAUUGAGUAAAGAGUUCUUGAGCAAUUGCUAUCUGAAAUCUAAAAUCAUGAUGAAAUAUAAACAUCUCGUGACAAUGGCAUUUUCAGGAGUGCCUUCAAUCAGCACCAACCCAAAUGCAUUGCCCCGUCAGUUUCGUAAUACUGCCCCUAAUCUUGUACAGGCCCUCCUCGUUUUAGAUGGCUACUGCACCUCCUCAAAUCAAAUCAAGUUUAGUUAUCAUUCACCCAUACAUGGAUACAACCAAAUGUAACAGUGUUCCUCUGGGACAAGGUGCAAAACAUACACAGCACAUUCAAAACAGCAAGGAAAAAAAAGUCACGCAAAAAUCUUGUCCAAGACAUUGAGUGACAUGUCCUGCCAAUUGAUGGUAUAGUUCCCGGCAAUCCAGCCUGUCAUUCCACAGAUCAAACACUGGAGGGCCCCACUGAAGGGGUGUUGGGCCAAGAUGCAGGGCUGGUCUCUUCACCCUGAAUGGGAAACUUCCAGUCACAAAUCUCUAAACUUCCUUUCCCUGAGCAGAGCGCCCUAGAUAUCAAGCAGGAUAGAACCAGACUACAGCGCACAGUGAGGACUGCUGAGCGCAUCAUUGGAGCCUCCCUGCCCUCUAUUGUGGACCUGUACUCUUCCAGGUUGAAGAAGAGGGCGGGGAACAUCAUAAAGGACUCCUUCCAUCCUGCGCACGGACUGUUUGAACUGCUUCCGUCUGGUAGGCGCUUCAGAUCCCUCCAGACUAAGACUAAUAGGCACUGGAGAAGUUUUUUCCCUACUGCGGUCACUUUGCUGAACAGUUAACUGCCGGUUAACUGUUGGCUAACUAUUACUUGGAUUGCACUACUUGUAUGUAUAAUCUAUAUUUUCAUUUAUAUUUAUCAUCUGUUAUGAGCAGAGAGACAACAUCUGCCGGAAGUAAAUUCCUUGUAUGUGCACAGGUACUUGGCGAUUAAAGUCUGAUUCUGAUUCUGAUCCUCCCUUUGGUUUGUGGCUUGAAAACACCCAAAUUGUGCACAAACCAAUGUUUGGGAGACCAGCGGGAUGGACAUGCUGGCAGCUGCAGGGCAGCAGGCAUCUUCUGCUGGGUGGGAGCUCGGUCUGUGGCCACGCUAGCAACUUGCAGUCGGUUAACUUCCAGUUACAAACAGUCCUCAGGAGUGGAGCCCUAACAUUAACCUGGAAAGGACCUGUAUGCAAACGAAUUAUCAAGCGUAGUCCUGCUUGAUGUCCAAGAAUCUUUAACCUGUUAUGUGUGAUGAGAAAAGCAGAUGGAGAUGGGGUCCAGAGUUGACCCCCCUGUGAACUAUGCUGCUAACGAGAGAGAUGAAGAGGAGGUGGAGGCAUCCUGUUGCAGAUGGGAGAGAGAGAGAGACAAGGAUUAAAAUGGAUGAUUUAGUAUUAUGGCUUCUUCACUAAUUGUUGACUUUAAUGCCAAGGACGUUUGGCCUGUUUCUGUGGAUAUCUGCUGAAACAACAGAGUGAUGCAAGGUGCCUGCUGAGAGAGGAGGGAGGAGCCAGUUCGAUGGACAUGGAGUUGAUGGAUGGCUGAUACCCCGUCAGGGGAGAUAAAAGAUAGGUCUGCUGAGAGACCGGCAGACACGCCAUGAGACACUGCAAGAGUGUUGUGCACCCACAGGAAGGUGAAGGCUUGGAGGACCGAAUCGGGAGAUCGGUCACAAAGCUCACAUUGUGACAGCAGGGCCAGUGGGGACUUGUGUGUGUGUCCACUCACGCCAGAGUGACGAGUCCACCAUGGAAGAAUGGUCUAGCCAAGGAUGGAGGGGUCAUAACCGAAUUACCACAUCAGUACAACGGAACAAGAAGACAACGGAAGGUUCACUUCAGUGACUGAUGAACGGCCCUACCUAUUUUAAAAAGCAGAUGUUACAUUCUUCAGUCUGAGCUUGCCGUGGCUGCUCAGAAUGAUGGUCCUUGUGAUCUGGAGCUCUUCCGUGUGGUUCAGGUUCAUCUGUACCUCAUAUUCGAUGAAGAAUACACGAGUUACUUGCCUGCUGGUCUAAGUAGAUAUGUUAAAUUCUAACGGAGGAAUUUCUUUAGCCAGAGGGUGGUGAAACUGUGGAAGUCAUUACCACAGGUGGCUGUGGAGACCAAGUCAUUGGGUACAUUUAAGGCAGAUAGAUUCUUGGUUGGUCAGGGCAUGAAGGGAUACAGGGAGAAGGCAGAAGAUAGGAGAUGGGAGCUGAGAGGGGAAUUGAUCAGCCAUGAUGAAGUGACAGAACAAAUGGGCUAAUUCUGCCCCUGUGUCUUAUGGUCUUGUGGUUUAACUUGUAUUUGGUGUCACUCUCAUUGUUUGCUGGUGAAAUGACUGCACUUGGGUUCACUAUUGUUCCCUUGUUGUUUCUUACAUACUAAAGCACUGCAGGAUGCGUAAACUCAUUCCCUCUCCAUCUUCUGAAUGAGUGAACCCUGUGGGAAUUGAGUCACGGCUUCAUGCUUUGAGUUGUUGAGGGAUACAGCAUGGGUGGCAGGGUGUAGUUAUGUAUCUACCAAAGGAGGUGUAAGGCAUUUCGUUUCUCUGCUAUUCUGCAGGUCACCCUUGGGCAGGUGCUUCACCUAUUUAACCCUCCCCAUCUCCCCCCCCCACCACCGGGUAUCAGGGUCAUGUGAAGCCAUGGGAGCAGGUGGUGGAUGGUCGUAUGAGCAGUUGGUGCAUAUCACAAGUCCUGGCAUUGCGACCACUGACGCCUCACGAGGAUAGACCUCUGUACUUUCCAACUGUGACCACUAUAAGCCUUGGCUCUCAAACUCUGCUUGAUUUCUAUCAUCCCAUUACAACAGAAAAUGAAAAAGAAGAGGAACAACGACAGCAAGACAAGCCCUUGCUUCCUACCCCACACACCCCAGGACAGGCCUCCACAUUUCUGGGCCUUCAGAUUCCAGUGCACUCUAACUAUCAGACAUCGGAUCUUUGACUUCCCCAGCAAUCUUGCAAAGGGUCACAGACCCAAGGCUUCAGCCAUCAGGCCUCAACUUUUGGACUUUCAAUCUACCCUGGACUUGCCAAUAAUAUUGAAAUGAAGACCCCCAAAUUCUGGGCCUCAAACUCAGGUCUCACCGACUUGUGUACCUGGGAGGUCAUUGGCCCUCAUGCCUCCUGUCCGCACAGGACUCCAAUGCUGGAAAAUGCUGCCAAUUCAUUCUCAUUUACCUUAGGGUGGGGGCCACCAGCCUUUGUCCUAACUAGUUUGCCAGACCGACAUUCAACCUCAGGAACUAUGUAAGUAAAUUCCACACAUUUAUUUAUUUAGAGAUACAGCUCGGUAAUAGGCCCUUCCAGCCCAACAAGGCCGUGCCACUCAACUACACGCAUGUGACCAAUUAACCUACUAACCCAUGUAUCUGGAUUGUGAGUGGAAACUGGAGCACCUGGAGGAAACCCAAGUAGUCAUGGGGAGAACAUACAAACUGCUUGCAGUGUCAGGAAUUGAACCCAGAUCGCUAGCGAGGUAAUAGUGUUGUGCUCACCACAAAUGCUACCAUUAAACAUGCAUGUAGCUUGCCUGUUAUAUAGUCGUAGUCUCCUGGGUUUUACAGAUUACAGGAUAAAUUUAAAUACCCGGUCCUUAAAUAUUACUCUCCUCGAAGAGGGCCACGACCUUGUUGUGGUUUGAGGCUUGCGUGCCUCAAUGACCCGGAGAGCUAUGUUGGCUGGACUCAGGGCUUUAUGAUUUGACUGUUGGUAGGGUCACCCAUGUCAAAGAAUAGAGGCCAGAUUCAGAGUGGUCCACCAGUACUCCAGGUUCAGGGAGUUCAGCUCAGGGUGAACAACCCUGACUGGUCAAACAAAAUUGUUAUGGAAACAGCAUGAAGAAUCCCUCUGCACGUGAGUGUGACAGAAUACCCGAGUCUCCAUCUGGACUUGUGUGACUGACACUAGUGAAACCACAGGGACGGGGAGUGACUGACAUGAUGAAGGAAGCCCCGAACACCACCGGAGAUGGAGGAGCUUCAUUGCUGCUCUAAAUGCUGGCGGUGUAAUGGGCAGUCAGUCAGUAAGUAAUGUUACUGUGUACAAUAGGCUGUCCUGAAAUACACACCAACUAGUCUGGCAUGGUUUAAUAAAUUAGUGUAAGAAAUUGCUUAUCAUAUGUACUGACUGUAAUAUAAAUGCUUGUGGUCAUGAGUAUUGACAAGUUAGCUUUUAUUUAUUUACUGUAAUUAGUGAAUACAUGUCUCAAAUUAUUUAAAAUCUAACAUUUGUUUACCAUCACCAUGUCUGAGAUGCUGAAGUGUUGGAAUGGACAGUAGUUUUGAUGGACUGUCGAUGAUGGUCUCUGCAAGAUUUGCUGAUGCUUGCAUGGUGGUGGUGGGGGGGGGGGGGGUUGAUGCCUUUGCUGGGGCAAGUGGGGGAAAGGGGAGGGUUGUUGAUUUUGUUGCUGCUUGUUAGGGGGAGGGAGGCUUUGGGGUUCUAACGUUUUCUGUCAUUCUUUGUGCUUUUCUGUUUUGUGAAUGUCUGUGAAGAGUAAGAAUUUCAGGUUGUAUACUGUAUACACUCUGAUAUUAAAUUGAAACAUUGAACCAUAACUCUUUUAAACAUUAAUGGAUUUCCAGCUUAAACAGAACAACCGCCCAUCUCACUGUUGCCAUGGGAACAGCUGAUGUAUUUCUGUGUGACCAAACAGGGAAGUUUCAUAAUUUUAAGUGUUAAAAUGUGUUUAAAGAAUAUUUAAUAAAGAAUUUUAUAAUGGCAAAUUUAAAUGCUGAUAAUAAACAACUUGUUGAUUACAAUGUGAGAUUUUGAUAAUAACACAGUGGUUUGAACAUAUCCUGUGGUUCCUGAAUAACUGACACAAGAUAUAAAUUUUUUUAAAUAUCAGGGCCACAUCAGCAGAUGAAAGAUUUGUGUUUUUUUGCCACAUUUACAUCGAAGCAGAGUGAAAUAUGUCUUUUGCCUCAAUGACCAUCGCAGUCAGUGGAUGAGCUAACACCCACACCUCACGAAGCCUAACCUGUAUGUCUUUGGUUUGUGGGAGGAAACCAGAGCACCUGGAGGAAAGUCAUGUGACGACAGGGAGAAUGUCCAAACUCCCUGCAGACAGCAGUGGGAAAUGAAGCAGGUCACUGGUGCAGUAAUAGCAUUAUGCUGUUCUGCUACACAUUAAUGUUCCUGAGGAUGUCAACCUCUGUUUACUGACCAGAGCCAUUUCAACACUCAGUCUGGGAUUGCUGACUCUGGGACACUGUUGUGUGUGCUGCUUCACUCGCUGUGUCACCUAGUGAACUGAUGUGUGUUGAAGCUGGAUGUCAUGUGAUGUCAGAACAUUGAUACAAUAAUCAACAAUCUUGUAAAGAAAGCUUUUGGCAUAAUGGCCUUCAUAAAUCAAUGUAUUGGGUACAAGAGAUGGAUUGUUAUGUUGAAGCUGUACAAGAUGUUGGUGAGGCCUAAUUUGGAGUAAUGUGUGCAGUUUUGGUCACCUACCUGCAGGUAAGAUGUAACCAAAUUUGAAAGAGUACAGAGAAGAUUUACAAGGAUUUUGCCAGGUCUGGAGGACCUGAGAUACAAGGAAAGAUUGAACAGGGUAGAACUGUAUUCUUUAGAACAUAAAAGACUGAGUGGAGAUUUGUCAUAGGUAUACAAACUUAUGGGGGGUAUAAUUAGUCUUUUUCCACUGAGAUUGGGUGGGACAACAACCAGAGGCUAUGGGUUAAAAUUGAAAGGUGUAAAAUCUUAGGGGAACAUCAGGCAAAACCUCUUCACUCAGAGGGCCAUGAGAGACUGGAAUGAGUUGCCAGCACAAGUGGUGCAUGCGAGCCGGGUCUCAGCCCGAAACGUCAACAGUGCUUCUCCCUACAGAUGCGGCCUGGCCUGCUGCAUUCCACCAGCAUUUUUAGUGUGUUGCUUGAAUUUCCAGCAUCUGCAGAUUUCGUCGUGUUUGCCUGGAUUUCAAUGUUUGGAUAUGUUCAUGGAUAGUUGGGAUAUGGAGGAGUAUGGUUUUGGUGCAGAUCGAUUGUAGUAGGCAGUUUAAAUGGUUUUGGCAUGGACCAGAUGGGUUGAAUGGUCUGUUUCUGUGCUGUACUUCUGUAUAAAUUUAAUCUCCAUUAUUUUUUCAUCCUCCUGAUGGGAACCUGAGACGAGCUGACACUCUCUGAGACGUGGGUCUCUAGGCUGUCCCAUUUUCAACUUCCUGCAUGGGCUGAAUAGAAAUGCGAUGUCUGAUCAGUGUAUCUGCUUCAGCAGACAAGUUUGCACCUGUACUAAUCCUGCUGGUGAAUGAUCUGGGCAUACACUGCAUCACUGCUCACACAGAUGAGCCAUCUUGUGCCGGGGGGGCAUCCGUAUUCUUGUGCAGACCAGGUAUCUACUGACAUGUCAUAGUCCCUUUGCUCCUGGGAGCGUCCCUGUCCACCAAGAGAAGCAAAUGUGUUUCUGCUCAAUGAUUCCUCACAAUAUCUAGCUACUGCUGUGUGACCAAGGUCAGAGAUCUAGUUUCAUCACAGACAGGAGGACAGUUGUCUCCACAGUAGCUGUUACCAUACAAGAAAGUGCACACAAUGUCCAGAGUGAAAGGGGUGAGCAGGGCUCCACAGACUCUCCAUAGGGCGCAGGAAGAUACACUCUUCCACCCUCCUUGCUAUCUCCUGAAUUCUGUCAACUAGCCUGAUGGAGAUCACUAAUCAGUUUCCGCAAGAAAACAUCUCAAGUGGCCCUUGGUGUUUAAGAGCAGAGAGUACAGCCUCAGAAUAGAAGGACAUCGUUUUAGAAUUGAGAUGAGGUGGAAUUUCUUCAAACAGACAGUGGUGAAUCUGUGAAAUU